AACUAGCUAGCAUCACAUAACCUUAGCAGUAACGUUAGUUUGUUUCGAGUUUUAGAUGCAAAGUUAAUGAAAGAAAGGAAGAUGUACUUUUUCUGCAAAUGAUGAGCAGCUUUUGCGAGUCAUGUCAGGGGAUUUGUGUGUGUCCUCCUUCAUCGCCCCAUUACACACCCCUGGGGGGCGCCUGCGCCUCCCUCACCUCCGAGAGUCUCCCCCAGCGCUGCUCUGAUGUGCUCUGCUGCCUCUUGAAGAAUCUCCCCGGCAACUGUCGUCACCACGGACGAUGCCCCAUCAUCCCCUGCGUCCUGCUGCCCGUCAUGAUGGACCACUCGCAGGAUGCUGGACUCCAAGAUACCUCACCGUCUCCCCGGGCAACUUAACGUCACAUCGCCGGCGGCACAGCACUGGCACACACACCCUACCUGACGUUUCCUUCUGGAGCACACAGACACACAUAAUUACAUGUACAAAUGGUUUGCUGGUGACUGAACAGCUUUCCCUUGUGGACAAUCUGCAGCCGGCCAGACGCUAUCAAAUGAAAGUGCAUUGUGAGUAAGAUACAAGCCAGCUCCAUGCUAUCCAUCUAAAUACAAAGACGACUAAAUGUUAACUGUGAUUGAUUGACUAUUGACAAAAUGGCUUCAACGGCUGCCUUGAAAGUAGAAAAACAAUCUUAUGGUGUGCACAUUUGUUUUGUCAAAUAUACAAUGGAGGCCGGUGAUUUUGAUGGAGCUGAA